rnacentral:rRNA from 1 species
GUGAGGAAUAUUGCGCAAUGGAGGCAACUCUGACGCAGCCAUGCCGCGUGCAGGAAGAAGGCGCUACGCGUUGUAAACUGCUUUUAACCGGGAAGAAACCCCAGGACGUGUCCUGGGUUGACGGUACCGGAGGAAUAAGCACCGGCUAUCUUCGUGCCAGCAGCCGCGGUAAUACGAAGGGUGCAAGCGUUAUCCGGAUUCAUUUGGUUUAAAGGGUGCGUAGGCGGAGCGUUAAGUCAGUGGUGAAAUCCUGCAGCUUAACUGUAGACUUGCCAUUGAUACUGGCGCUCUUGAGUGCGCUUGAAGUGGGCGGAAUGUGCCGUGUAGCGGUGAAAUGCUUAGAUAUGGCACAGAACACCAAUUGCGAAGGCAGCUCACUAAGGCGAUACUGACGCUGAGGCACGAAAGCGUGGGGAUCGAACAGGAUUAGAAACCCGUGUAGUCC